rnacentral:tRNA from 11 species
CGUGGCCAAGUGGUUAAGACCUUGGGCUACUAGCCCAAUGGUCGCGGGUUCGAGCCCGGG